rnacentral:lncRNA from 1 species
UGAGUGUUUUCAUUCCUUGUGCUGACCACAACACAGAGAUGGGCUUGAUCUGUCGCACAUUGGAGGCCUGGGAUUUAUCUUCUCCUUUUCAGGAAAUGAAUGGGGUGCUGAAAGGAAUGCUCUCAGAAUGGUUUUCCUCCGGGUUCCUGAACCUAGAACGGGUUACCUGGCAUUCACCGUGUGAAGUGCUUCAGAAAAUCAGUGAGGCUGACAGUGCCUGCUGCCAUUUCACAUGCUGAAAACAAAAUAGCGGUGGGGCGAGAUUGCUGGAAGACACCAGAUGAGCCCCCUGAUUGCAGCACUGACGGCUUCACAGAGAUCCCAAGGAAAGAAAAGACAGUGUUCAACACCAAGCGUUUGAUUAGGUUUCACGUUAAAAUCUGCAUGAAUCCUUCCCCGGAGCCUCACAAACUCCUUUUAAAACUGGGGUUAAAACUGGAGCACAAUUUUGUGUGUAAAAUGGUCAUUCACUGUAGUUCCUCUCAGUGGGUGCUGUUUCUCAUGAAAAUGACUUUCUUUGAAUUUUC